GAUGAACGCUGGCGGCGUGCUUAACACAUGCAAGUCGAACGGGAAACAUUUUAUUGAAGCUUCGGCAGAUUUAGAUUGUUUCUAGUGGCGGACGGGUGAGUAACGCGUGGGUAACCUGCCUUAUACCGGGGGAUAACAGCCAGAAAUGACUGCUAAUACCGCAUAAGCGCACAGAACCGCAUGGUUCCGUGUGAAAAACUCCGGUGGUAUAAGAUGGACCCGCGUUGGAUUAGCUAGUUGGCAGGGCAGCGGCCUACCAAGGCGACGAUCCAUAGCCGGCCUGAGAGGGUGAACGGCCACAUUGGGACUGAGACACGGCCCAGACUCCUACGGGAGGCAGCAGUGGGGAAUAUUGCACAAUGGGGGAAACCCUGAUGCAGCGACGCCGCGUGAAGGAAGAAGUAUCUCGGUAUGUAAACUUCUAUCAGCAGGGAAGAUAAUGACGGUACCUGACUAAGAAGCCCCGG
rnacentral:rRNA from 1 species